AGUCAUGUGUGUGCAUAGUUUCUAAUCUGUGCCUAGUAAUACAGUCCAAUUGUGUUUUGCGUUUAGACUGUGUUGCUCACAUACAGCAUUGUGGCCAAAGAGCAACUUGAGAUCAUAGUACUGGUGCAGUGAUGUCGAAAGACAAGCUUACCACUGACCAGCCUCCAAACUCUCAAACAUGG
rnacentral:snoRNA from 1 species